UCCAGACUCCUACGGGAGGCAGCAGUGAGGAAUAUUGGUCAAUGGUCGGGAGACUGAACCAGCCAAGCCGCGUGAGGGAGGAAGGUACAGAGUAUCGUAAACCUCUUUUGUCAGGGAACAAAGGCGGGGACGUGUCCCCGGAUGAGUGUACCUGAAGAAAAAGCAUCGGCUAACUCCGUGCCAGCAGCCGCGGUAAUACGUAGGUGGCAAGCGUUAUCCGGAAUGAUUGGGCGUAAAGGGUGCGCAGGCGGCGUGGCAAGUCUGAAGUGAAAGGUACGGGCUCAACCUGUACAGGCUUUGGAAACUGCCACGCUCGAGGACAGGAGAGGGCGGUGGAACUCCAUGUGUAGCGGUAAAAUGCGUAGAUAUAUGGAAGAACACCAGUGGCGAAGGCGGCCGCCUGGACUGUUACUGACGCUCAGGCACGAAAGCGUGGGGAGCAAAUAGGAUUAGAUACCCGGGUA
rnacentral:rRNA from 1 species